rnacentral:tRNA from 1 species
CUUGUCCUGGCUGAAGAGCAUGAGACUCUUAAUCUCAGGGUCGUGGGUUCGAGUCCCACGGGGGGGA